GAUGAGCGCUGGCGGCGUGCCUAAUACAUGCAAGUCGAGCGAACAGACGAGGAGCUUGCUCCUCUGACGUUAGCGGCGGACGGGUGAGUAACACGUGGAUAACCUACCUAUAAGACUGGGAUAACUUCGGGAAACCGGAGCUAAUACCGGAUAAUAUAUUGAACCGCAUGGUUCAAUAGUGAAAGACGGUUUUGCUGUCACUUAUAGAUGGAUCCGCGCCGCAUUAGCUAUUUGGUAAGGUAACGGCUUACCAAGGCAACGAUGCGUAGCCGACCUGAGAGGGUGAUCGGCCACACUGGAACUGAGACACGGUCCAGACUCCUACGGGAGGCAGCAGUAGGGAAUCUUCCGCAAUGGGCGAAAGACUGACGGAGCAACGCCGCGUGAGUGAUGAAGGUCUUCGGAUCGUAAAACUCUGUUAUUAGGGAAGAACAAAUGUGUAAGUAACUAUGCACGUCUUGACGGUACCUAAUCAGAAAGCCACGGCUAACUACGUG
rnacentral:rRNA from 1 species